rnacentral:rRNA from 1 species
CCCUUAGAUGUUCUGGGCCGCACGCGCGCUACAAUGGCAGACUCAGCGAGUUACCUCUGUCGAAAGGCACAGGGAAUCUUUACAGUAUCUGCCGUGAUGGGGAUAGACCCUUGUAAUUUUUGGUCUUCAACGAGGAAUUCCGAGUAAACGCAAGUCAUUAACUUGCAUUGAUUACGUCCCUGCCCUUUGUACACACCGCCCGUCGCACCUACCGAUUGAAUGGUCCGGUGAAGUCCUCGGACCCAGUUGAACCUCGAGUUGAACAGGGAAAGUUGACUAAAUCUUACCAUUUAGAGGAAGGUGAAGUCGUAACA